AGCGCCAAAAAGUUAACAACUUA
rnacentral:siRNA from 1 species